GAUGAACGCUGGCGGCGUGCCUAAUACAUGCAAGUCGAGCGGACGGACGAGAAGCUUGCUUCUCUGAUGUUAGCGGCGGACGGGUGAGUAACACGUGGAUAACCUACCUAUAAGACUGGGAUAACUUCGGGAAACCGUAGCUAAUACCGGAUAAUAUUUUGAACCGCAUGGUUCAAAAGUGAAAGACGGUCUUGCUGUCACUUAUAGAUGGAUCCGCGCUGCAUUAGCUAGUUGGUAAGGUUACGGCUUACCAAGGCAACGAUGCAUAGCCGACCGGAGAGGGUGGUCGCCCACAUUGGAGCUGGGCCGCGGUCCUGAGUCCUGCGGGAGGCAGCAGUCGGCUAUCUUCCGCAAUGGGCGAAAGCCUGACGCAGCAACGCCGCGUGUGUGAUGGCGGUCUUCGGAUCGUAAAACUCUGUUAUUAGGGGAGAACAUAUGUGUCAUUAACUGUGCACAGCUUGACGGUACCUAGUCAGAAAGCCCCGGCUAACUACGUG
rnacentral:rRNA from 1 species